rnacentral:tRNA from 1 species
GCAGUGGUGGUUCAAAGGCAAAAUUCUCACCUUCCAUGUGGGACAUCCAGGUUUGAUUCCUGGCCAACGCU